GAAUGGGGAAACCCAGUGUGACUCGUCACACUAUCAUUAACUGAAUCCAUAGGUUAAUGAGGCGAACCGGGGGAACUGAAACAUCUAAGUACCCCGAGGAAAAGAAAUCAACCGAGAUUCCCCCAGUAGCGGCGAGCGAACGGGGAGGAGCCCAGAGCCUGAAUCAGCAUGUGUGUUAGUGGAAGCGUCUGGAAAGGCGCGCGAUACAGGGUGACAGCCCCGUACACAAAAGCGCAUGUGCUGUGAGCUCGAUGAGUAGGGCGGGACACGUGGUAUCCUGUCUGAAUAUGGGGGGACCAUCCUCCAAGGCUAAAUACUCCUGACUGACCGAUAGUGAACCAGUACCGUGAGGGAAAGGCGAAAAGAACCCCGGCGAGGGGAGUGAAAAAGAACCUGAAACCGUGUACGUACAAGCAGUGGGAGCACCCUUUUGGGUGUGACUGCGUACCUUUUGUAUAAUGGGUCAGCGACUUAUAUUCUGUAGCAAGGUUAACCGAAUAGGGGAGCCGCAGGGAAACCGAGUCUUAAUUGGGCGUUAAGUUGCAGGGUAUAGACCCGAAACCCGGUGAUCUAGCCAUGGGCAGGUUGAAGGUUGGGUAACACUAACUGGAGGACCGAACCGACUAAUGUUGAAAAAUUAGCGGAUGACCUGUGGCUGGGGGUGAAAGGCCAAUCAAACCGGGAGAUAGCUGGUUCUCCCCGAAAGCUAUUUAGGUAGCGCCUCGUGAAUUCAUCUCCGGGGGUAGAGCACUGUUUCGGCUAGGGGGCCAUCCCGGCUUACCAACCCGAUGCAAACUGCGAAUACCGGAGAAUGUUAUCACGGGAGACACACGGCGGGUGCUAACGUCCGUCGUGAAGAGGGAAACAACCCAGACCGCCAGCUAAGGUCCCAAAGUCAUGGUUAAGUGGGAAACGAUGUGGGAAGGCCCAGACAGCCAGGAUGUUGGCUUAGAAGCAGCCAUCAUUUAAAGAAAGCGUAAUAGCUCACUGGUCGAGUCGGCCUGCGCGGAAGAUGUAACGGGGCUAAACCAUGCACCGAAGCUGCGGCAGCGACACUAUGUGUUGUUGGGUAGGGGAGCGUUCUGUAAGCCUGUGAAGGUGUGCUGUGAGGCAUGCUGGAGGUAUCAGAAGUGCGAAUGCUGACAUAAGUAACGAUAAAGCGGGUGAAAAGCCCGCUCGCCGGAAGACCAAGGGUUCCUGUCCAACGUUAAUCGGGGCAGGGUGAGUCGACCCCUAAGGCGAGGCCGAAAGGCGUAGUCGAUGGGAAACGGGUUAAUAUUCCCGUACUUGGUGUUACUGCGAAGGGGGGACGGAGAAGGCUAUGUUGGCCGGGCGACGGUUGUCCCGGUUUAAGCGUGUAGG
rnacentral:rRNA from 2 species